UACGUAGGGCGCAAGCGUUGUCCGGAAUUAUUGGGCGUAAAGAGCUCGUAGGCGGUUUGUCGCGUCUGCUGUGAAAAACCUAAGGCUCAACCUUGGGCUUGCAGUGGGUACGGGCAGACUAGAGUGUGGUAGGGGAGACUGGAAUUCCUGGUGUAGCGGUGAAAUGCGCAGAUAUCAGGAGGAACACCGAUGGCGAAGGCAGGUCUCUGGGCCACUACUGACGCU
rnacentral:rRNA from 1 species